rnacentral:lncRNA from 1 species
GCUUGCAAAGGGCAGGCAGGCUCAUUCCGGGACAAGAGGAAGUCAGUCCCUGCCCCGAGGGCCUGUGCCUCUCUGCCCCCGGCCCAGAGGAAGGGGGAAGCCAGGGGCGCCUCUGGGGGCCCAGCCCCCCAAUCCCUCCCAGCAGAGGAAGCCAAGGGCGGCGCAGAAACAAUGGAAACCAGCCAAUUCAGCAGCAAGAGGAAUCAGCUCAGACACCAGGAAGACAUCCAGAGGUCCCCUGAGAAGUGUAACCAAGCCUCUGAAGGGUUCCAUGUAAAGAAGCCCUAGUCUACAAGCUCUGUGCCUGAUGGAGGAAGCAGCAGUGCAUGGAGCACCAAGCUGUUCUCAAAAGACCAUCUGCUUUAUCUGAAGACUUUGAGCCGCUGAAGAGCUGGGACGCUCGAACACCAUCUUACCUGAGUCGGGGACAAGUGACUUGAAUACACACUAUUUCUUGGCAGGUCUCUGGGACAGGAUGGCCCAGGAGCUCAGCGAGAAGGAGCUACUGAAGAUGGAGGUGGAACAGCUGAAGAAGGAAGUGAAGAACCCAAGAGCUCUGAUUUCCAAGACAGGAAAGGAAAUCAAGGAUUAUGUGGAGGCUGAAGCAGGAAACGACCCUCUCCUCAAAGGCAUCCCUGAAGACAAGAAUCCCUUCAAGGAAAAAGGUGGUUGUAUGAUAAGCUGAUGGCCCUGGAGCCCCUCCCCCCGGACAUCUGUCCCUGCUCAGCCCCCCUGCUCUGCACCAGGAACCGAGCUUCCCGGGGACACCCAGGGACCCAGGGAAUCAUCCCCUUCUUUCAGCCACAGCCAUGGCAUGAGUAGACCCCUGGCCCAUGCCCUGGGAUCCACUCCCCACUCCUACCUUCGGCUCUCCUCUACUCCACCUGCUGGGUCACCACUGGCCCCACUCAGAGGACAGCUUCCCUGCCUCAGCAGCUGGCACCUUGUGUGGUGGGAUUCAAAGAGCCCCGAGACCCCAGAUGGCAAUCCUUAGAGACAUUUACUCCUCCCCGAAGCUGGGCCAUCUUUCCCUCUGCACUCUUCCUAGGACCCAGUCUCUUAUUCAGAAUAGUUUGGGUUGAGGCCCAGAGUUGGGGGCUCCUUUUGUCCCUCAUCUGCAGGUCCAAUCCUGUGGUCAUCCUCUAAAGUCACUUAGAUCACCCCAGAGGGCCUGAGGCCAAAAGAGUCUAUAAAGUCACAAUGUCAUGAUUGAUUUAAUAUUAUGGAGUGUCUGUUCCUUGCUGGGUACUAGGACGAGAAGAGUGGCAACACAAACAUGGCUCGUGUCAUAUUGUUUAGCAGAGAAAAAUAUGGAGCAAAAUAAGUGCCACUCUCUGGAGAGGACCAUCCAGGUGGUGUGGAGCCCUGGGGCGAGGUCCCUGUGAAUUGCUGCAGGCCAGUGGGCCAUGGGGUGGAACUAGGCAGACAGAGGCCCAAGAGGAAGAUGGAAUGAAGACUUAAAGCACCCAGUGAGCUCAGCUAAGGACUCUGUUCUGCACUGGUUGCAAGGGGAAGCCUAGGAGGGGGUGAAGCAGCCAAGGGACAGACGGGAUUUGACCAGCGGGAGGGAGGCCAGAUCCUGCUAAGGAGGGCGCUGGUUCCUGGGCCUUGUUAGCAAGCAGAUUAUAGUCUUACAGAACCUCAGAAGUGAUGUGGGAGCAGAAGGCAAGCUAAGGACAAAGCACUAGCUGACACCCCACCACUCUCAGGUGGGAUGUGUGUGACAUUCCUCAGGCACUCCUGGCUGCCCUAAAGCUAAGGGAACGAAAAACCAAUUGUUAAUUUAUAGAGAUUACAGUCCUGCAAGACAAAAUGUCUUAGUGAUUUACCAGGGGAAAAAUAACCCUUCUGGAAGUUAGGUUAUUGAUAACCUAACUUCCAGAAGGAAACUCCCAACUGUCUUACUGUUAAUGCUUUCCUAGAGGGAAAAACCAUCUGAACUUGAUGAUGGCAAGGCGUCUAGUAUCUUGUAGGCCCUCUUUAGCAUACAAAAAUUCUUUUGAAAACCUCCCUUUUUCCUUACCCCCAGCUCCCAAGUAUAUAAUCUGUCACCUUUCACGACCCCCUGAAGUUGGGCACCUGGCAGCUCUUUCUGCCUACGGGUCCUGUCCCCGUGUUUGAA